CACCCCUCAGGGUCGCACCUGGAGAGUUUCCAGUACUCUACCAGUCUCAACUGUAAGAGGGGGAGUUAGGCAGAGGCAUAUCCAUUCCAUUCCUAUCUUGGCCAGUGGCUAGCGAGUGGAAGACGAUCUGCUAUAAGU